rnacentral:lncRNA from 8 species
AUGAAUUCUCUCGUCGGCUACGGCGUGUCCUCAGAUUCUGACAGCGAUGGGGAUAUUGUAAACAACAAGAAGACUGAGAGCAAGGUGGAUGGACAGACCCAGAAAAAGGGCCGCAAUUUCCUCCUAGAGUCCGGGUCAGCCUCCAGUGAGUCGGACUGUGACUCCUAUCCAGAGGAAGAGGUGGACCCCGUAUCUCAACUACAACCAAAACGCCCUCCUCCUGUCUGUAUGGGUCCCCCCGCAGAGUCCCGGACCCUUCUCCUCCCCGCACCCCCUAGCUCCCUCUCCCACAAACUCCCCCCUCCCCCCCUCGGGGCCUCGUCCAAGAGUGGCGUAUUCGCCAACCCCUUCAAGGCUCAAGCCGACCAGAAGCUCAACGUCUUGCAGAAGCACGUCCCUCUCACAGUGCAGGCCCGGCCCUCCCAGAUAGGGGGCAAGAGGAUGUGUGUGGCGUACAGGAAGGACGGACGCUGCAGGUUCGGGAUCAAAUGCAAGUUUGCCCACGACAGCGAUCUCCAGAGCUCCAUCAUUCCCAAUGACUAUGACCCCCCUGCGGAUGACGCUCCCGGAUCGCACCAAGCUGAGUCCAACGCAGGAGGCUCUUCAUACAUGGGUCGCCAGAACUUUCACCACAACCAGGGAGGAGACCCUGAAGAGGAGGAGGGUCAGCAGUCUAGGAAGAGGAGAGUAGGGCUGAGUAACACCCUAGUGCCUCCUAAAAGGGCGUUGAAGAAUUAUGCAAUGCAGAGGAAGAGAGAACAGGUCAAUUUGAACUGAGCGACUUGUACAGGAAUACUGUCAGCAGCAAUACACUGUGUGUGUGUGUGUGUGUGCGUGUGUGCGUGUGUGCGUGCGUGCGUGCGUGCGUGUACACUCACAUUGUUUUAGUGUGUGACAGAGAAAAUGGGAAUGUGUUCCAAUUUUGUACCAUUAUUCUGCACUCAUUUACUCCCCCCCAUGGAUGUAAAAGGAAUGGACUGGUGUAAAAUAUGGUUUAAACUUCUCCCUACCCAUGCUUACGAGUGAGCAAGUGCAAACUAAUCAGACUACAGCCAGAGAGUAUUCUAUACACCGCUUGUCAGUAUGCAAGAUAGGAUAACUAUACCACACUUCCAAACCUCUGUUCAGUCCAGUACAUAUACUUCAGAUUGGUAGUUUGUACAUGAGAAGUUUUUGUAGUUUCAUUGAAAACGUAUUCCUUUUGGAAGAAACUGUCCGUUGGAAAUAUAAGCUACAUUUUAUCAUUGUUAAAUAAACGCUUUAAAUGUUUGUUAUUUGUGUUUUCGUGAUCACUUAAUGAUAAAUGGACAUAGGAACUGGAGAUACAAAUAAAGUUAUGGAUCGAGUUUAGGAAAAUAUAAUCAUUAAUUUAAACGGCUUUUCUUGAUUAGAGAAAGAUUGAAAGGAGAGGCAGCACAGGGUUACUUUUUUUGAUCAGUUGCAACACACUUCGGCAUCAGUCCCAAUGUAAGCACACACACACUUAGCUCCUGCUUUUUGGGAUGGAUCUAUUGGAGCCCCAUACACUGGCGAUUGAUGCUUCUCCAGCCAAAAACUGCAAUGAAAGCCAAGAUUGAAUGGAACAGACAGCGGGCUCUGAUGCUGAGGCAAGCCCAACUG